rnacentral:rRNA from 1 species
GAUGAACGCUGGCGGCGUGCCUAAUACAUGCAAGUCGAGCGAACAGACGAGGAUCUUGCUCCUCUGACGUUAGCGGCGGACGGGUGAGUAACACGUGGAUAACCUACCUAUAAGACUGGGAUAACUUCGGGAAACCGGAGCUAAUACCGGAUAAUAUAUUGAACCGCAUGGUUCAAUAGUGAAAGACGGUUUUGCUGUCACUUAUAGAUGGAUCCUCGCCGCAUUAGCUAGUUGGUAAGGUAACGGCUUACCAAGGCGACGAUGCGUAGCCGACCUGAGAGGGUGAUCAGCCACACUGGAACUGAGACACGGUCCAGACUCCUACGGGAGGCAGCAGUAGGGAAUCUUCCGCAAUGGGCGAAAGCCUGACGGAGCAACGCCGCGUGAGUGAUGAAGGUCUUCGGAUCGUAAAACUCUGUUAUUAGGGAAGAACAAAUGUGUAAGUAACUAUGCACGUCUUGACGGUACCUAAUCAGAAAGCAACGGCUAACUACGUG